rnacentral:rRNA from 1 species
GAUGAACGCUGGCGGCGUGCCUAAUACAUGCAAGUCGAGCGAACAGACGAGGAGCUUGCUCCUCUGACGUUAGCGGCGGACGGGUGAGUAACACGUGGAUAACCUACCUAUAAGACUGGGAUAACUUCGGGAAACCGGAGCUAAUACCGGAUAAUAUAUUGAACCGCAUGGUUCAAUAGUGAAAGACGGUUUUGCUGUCACUUAUAGAUGGAUCCGCGCCGCAUUAGCUAGUUGGUAAGGUAACGGCUUACCAAGGCGACGAUGCGUAGCCGACCUGAGAGGGUGAUCGGCCACACUGGAACUGAGACACGGUCCAGACUCCUACGGGAGGCAGCAGUAGGGAAUCUUCCGCAAUGGGCGAAAGCCUGACGGAGCAACGCCGCGUGAGUGAUGAAGGUCUUCGGAUCGUAAAGCUCUGUUAUUGGGGAAGAACAAAUGUGUAAGUAACUAUGCACGUCUUGACGGUACCUAAUCAGAAAGCCCCGGCUAACUACGUG